GACGAACGCUGGCGGCGUGCCUAAUACAUGCAAGUUGAGCGAUGAAGAUUGGUGCUUGCACCAAUUUGAAGAGCAGCGAACGGGUGAGUAACGCGUGGGGAAUCUGCCUUUGAGCGGGGGACAACAUUUGGAAACGAAUGCUAAUACCGCAUAACAACUUUAAACAUAAGUUUUAAGUUUGAAAGAUGCAAUUGCAUCACUCAAAGAUGAUCCCGCGUUGUAUUAGCUAGUUGGUGAGGUAAAGGCUCACCAAGGCGAUGAUACAUAGCCGACCUGAGAGGGGGAUCGGCCACAAUGGGAAUGGGACAAGGCCCAAACUCCUACGGGAGGCAGCAGUAGGGAAUCUUCGGCAAUGGACGAAAGUCUGACCGAGCAACGCCGCGUGAGUGAAGAAGGUUUUCGGAUCGGAAAACUCUGUUGGUAGAGAAGAACGUUGGUGAGAGUGGAAAGCUCACCAAGUGACGGUAACUACCCAGAAAGGGACGGCUAACUACGUG
rnacentral:rRNA from 1 species